UCGAGGGGCAGCGAGUAGAUUGCUUGCAAUCUACGUCGGCGACCGGCGCACGGGUGCGUAACGCGUAUGCAACCUACCCAUUACAGGGGGAUAACACUGAGAAAUCGGUACUAAUACCCCAUAACAUCCAGGGAGGCAUCUUCUUGGGUUGAAAACUCCGGUGGUAAUGGAUGGGCAUGCGUUGUAUUAGUUAGUUGGUGGGGUAACGGCUCACCAAGACGACGAUACAUAGGGGGACUGAGAGGUUAACCCCCCACAUUGGUACUGAGACACGGACCAAACUCCUACGGGAGGCAGCAGUGAGGAAUAUUGGUCAAUGGACGCAAGUCUGAACCAGCCAUGCCGCGUGCAGGAAGACGGCUCUAUGAGUUGUAAACUGCUUUUGUACGAGGGUAAACGCAGAUACGUGUAUCUGUCUGAAAGUAUCGUACGAAUAAGGAUCGGCUAACUCCGUGCCAGCAGCCGCGGUAAUACGGAGGAUUCAAGCGUUAUCCGGAUUUAUUGGGUUUAAAGGGUGCGUAGGCGGUCGGAUAAGUUAGAGGUGAAAUCCCGGGGCUCAACUUCGGAAUUGCCUCUGAUACUGUUCGGCUAGAGAGUAGUUGCGGUAGGCGGAAUGUAUGGUGUAGCGGUGAAAUGCUUAGAGAUCAUACAGAACACCGAUUGCGAAGGCAGCUUACCAAGCUACUUCUGA
rnacentral:rRNA from 1 species